GGCUCAGGAUGAACGCUGGCGGCGUGCUUAACACAUGCAAGUCGAGCGAUGAAGUUUCCUUCGGGAAACGGAUUAGCGGCGGACGGGUGAGUAACACGUGGGUAACCUGCCUCAUAGAGUGGAAUAGCCUUCCGAAAGGGAGAUUAAUACCGCAUAAUGUUGAAAGAUGGCAUCAUCAUUCAACCAAAGGAGCAAUCCGCUAUGAGAUGGACCCGCGGCGCAUUAGCUGGUUGGUGGGGUAACGGCCUACCAAGGCGACGAUGCGUAGCCGACCUGAGAGGGUGAUCGGCCACAUUGGGACUGAGACACGGCCCAGACUCCUACGGGAGGCAGCAGUGGGGAAUAUUGCACAAUGGGGGAAACCCUGAUGCAGCAACGCCGCGUGAGUGAUGAAGGUUUUCGGAUCGUAAAGCUCUGUCUUUGGGGAAGAUAAUGACGGUACCCAAGGAGGAAGCCACGGCUAACUACGUGCCAGCAGCCGCGGUAAUACGUAGGUGGCGAGCGUUAUCCGGAUUUACUGGGCGUAAAGGGAGCGUAGGCGGAUGAUUAAGUGGGAUGUGAAAUACCCGGGCUCAACUUGGGUGCUGCAUUCCAAACUGGUUAUCUAGAGUGCAGGAGAGGGGAGUGGAAUUCCUAGUGUAGCGGUGAAAUGCGUAGAGAUUAGGAAGAACACCAGUGGCGAAGGCGACUCUCUGGACUGUAACUGACGCUGAGGCUCGAAAGCGUGGGGAGCAAACAGGAUUAGAUACCCUGGUAGUCCACGCCGUAAACGAUGGAUACUAGGUGUGGGGGUUUCAACACCUCCGUGCCGCCGCUAACGCAUUAAGUAUUCCGCCUGGGGAGUACGGUCGCAAGAUUAAAACUCAAAGGAAUUGACGGGGACCCGCACAAGUAGCGGAGCAUGUGGUUUAAUUCGAAGCAACGCGAAGAACCUUACCUACACUUGACAUCCCUUGCAUUACUCUUAAUCGAGGAAAUCCCUUCGGGGACAAGGUGACAGGUGGUGCAUGGUUGUCGUCAGCUCGUGUCGUGAGAUGUUGGGUUAAGUCCCGCAACGAGCGCAACCCUUGUCGUUAGUUACUACCAUUAAGUUGAGGACUCUAGCGAGACUGCCUGGGUUAACCAGGAGGAAGGUGGGGAUGACGUCAAAUCAUCAUGCCCCUUAUGUGUAGGGCUACACACGUGCUACAAUGGCUGGUACAGAGAGAUGCAAUACCGCGAGGUGGAGCCAAACUUUAAAACCAGUCUCAGUUCGGAUUGUAGGCUGAAACUCGCCUACAUGAAGCUGGAGUUACUAGUAAUCGCGAAUCAGAAUGUCGCGGUGAAUACGUUCCCGGGUCUUGUACACACCGCCCGUCACACCAUGAGAGUUGGCAAUACCCGAAGUCCGUGAGCUAACCGCAAGGAGGCAGCGGCCGAAGGUA
rnacentral:rRNA from 1 species